rnacentral:rRNA from 1 species
GAUGAACGCUGGCGGCGUGCCUAAUACAUGCAAGUCGAGCGAACGGACUAGAAGCUUGCUUCUCUGAUGUUAGCGGCGGACGGGUGAGUAACACGUGGAUAACCUACCUAUAAGACUGGGAUAACUUCGGGAAACCGGCGCUAAUACCUGAUAAUAUUUUGAACCGCAUGGUUCAAAAGUGAAAGACGGUCUUGCUGUCACUUAUAGAUGGAUCCGCGCUGCAUUAGCUAGUUGGUAAGGUAACGGCUUACCAAGGCAACGAUGCAUAGCCGACCUGAGAGGGUGAUCGGCCACACUGGAACUGAGACACGGUCCAGACUCCUACGGGAGGCAGCAGUAGGGAAUCUUCCGCAAUGGGCGAAAGCCUGACGGAGCAACGCCGCGUGAGUGAUGAAGGUCUUCGGAUCGUAAAACUCUGUUAUUAGGGAAGAACAUAUGUGUAAGUAACUGUGCACAUCUUGACGGUACCUAAUCAGAAAGCCACGGCUAACUACGUG